GCACACAUACAGGGCAGGGCUGGCCACGCUUUUCCACAAAUCCAGUUUCCAAAGAAGAAUACCGAGAUGCUCCAGGUCCCCUCAGAAGAAGGGUUGCUAAAAAGCAACAAGACUCUAGUGAGCAGAGGUCUCUGAGCUGGUGCUGAUCUCAGGGAAGACGAAUGUGGAUGAGAGGGCUAUAGAAAGAUUUUUUAAAGAUCUAUAUAAAGAACAAGAAGUUAGUCCCUUUCGGACAAAAAUCUUCAGUAAAAUCGAUCUGUGCCCCAGGCACACAAAGAAGCGGGAACCUGGGUAUUCUCACUGUGAAUAUUCCAUAUGUCUAGCUCCUGGAACCAGAGAAUACCAAGGAAGACAGAUUAUUUGGAAGAUAUGGAUGCCAAAUUGCUUCUCAAUCCAGUCUCAGAAGCCAGAGAUGUCAGUGGGUGCUGCUGUUUUAUUUCCUGUGAAUCAGAGGAUAAUCAGAAACCAAAUGAAAAUAUUUCCACAGCUAAGAUUGAAAAGAAGGCAAUUUAUGAGUGAAGUGUGGGUUUCAAAUGAGAUCUUCUCUGUUGACAGAGAGCCUUUGCUCCAGCCAAUACCUGAGCUUCUGCCAGUUCGACCAAUUAUAAUGGAGGAAGGAGAUGAGGGAUUAGAAAAAACAAAGCUGACAGAUGGCAAUUUGUGAAGAGUUGAAUCAACAUAAAUUAUAUCUCAUCAGCGAGCGGAGGAAAGAGAGGAUGUUUUCCAGUGUUCGGCUAACCACUGAGAUGGUGAGCAUGCCAGAGGCACAGCAAGCAAACCACUGGGCACCCUCGAGAGUUGGAUGCAAGCACAGAGCUGGAGAAAUACCCUUUAUUGGAAAGCCAUAUGGAUUGCAAAUUGUGGGUAGACAUCUAUUUGAAACAAUACAAUAAAUGAACAUCUGGGAUUUUGGAAGGUGUCUGUCAUAGACUACAGAAAAUCAGAACAAAAUUGCCCGUAACUAGAUAUGAUAAUGCGGAAAGUAUCCAAGACUUGCCAGUACAAAACCCACCUUUUUAAUAGUGUAUAAAGAGUCACGGUCUGUCACCCACGUUGGAGUACAAUGGCGCAAUCUUG